rnacentral:rRNA from 1 species
ACGGGAGGCAGCAGUCGGGAAUAUUGCGCAAUGGAGGGAACUCUGACGCAGUGACGCCGCGUAUAGGAAGAAGGUUUUCGGAUUGUAAACUAUUUUAGACAGGGAAGAAAUUGACAGUACCUGUAGAAUAAGCUCCGGCUAACUACGUGCCAGCGGCCGCGGUAAUACGUAGGGAGCAAGCGUUAUCCGGAUUUAUUGGGUGUAAAGGGUGCGUAGACGGAGUAGCAAGUUGGUUGUGAAAUCCCUCGGCUUAACUGAGGAACUGCAACCAAAACUACUACCCUUGAGUGUUGGAGAGGAAAGUGGAAUUCCUAGUGUAGCGGUGAAAUGCGUAGAUAUUAGGAGGAACACCAGUGGCGAAGGCGACUUUCUGGACAAUAACUGACGUUGAGGCACGAAAGUGUGGGGAGCAAACAGGAUUAGAUACCCUGGUA